GAUGAACGCUGGCGGCGUGCCUAAUACAUGCAAGUCGAGCGAACAGAUGAGGAGCUUGCUCCUCUGACGUUAGCGGCGGACGGGUGAGUAACACGUGGAUAACCUACCUAUAAGACUGGGAUAACUUCGGGAAACCGGAGCUAAUACCGGAUAAUAUAUUGAACCGCAUGGUUCAAUAGUGAAAGACGGUUUUGCUGUCACUUAUAGAUGGAUCCGCGCCGCAUUAGCUAGUUGGUAAGGUAACGGCUUACCAAGGCAACGAUGCGUAGCCGACCUGAGAGAGGGGUAGGCCACACGGGAACUGAGACGCGGUCCAGACGCCUGAGGGAGGCAGCAGUAGGGAAUCGGACGCAAUGGGGGAAAGCCUGACGGAGCAACGCCGCGUGAGUGAUGAAGGUCUUCGGAUCGUAAAACUCUGUUAUUAGGGAAGAACAAAUGUGUAAGGAACUAUGCACGUCUUGACGGUACCGAAUCAGAAAGCCACGGCUAACUACGUG
rnacentral:rRNA from 1 species